UUUGAACUUCUUUUGAUACCAGUUCCCUUUCCAUUCACCAAGUCCUUUCUCCUAUUACCCUUUCCCCUCUCCCUUUCUCUCUUUCCUCUUCACCUGAACCUAUCAAAAGAACCCAGCUUUCCAUCUCGCUACCAGACGACGAUGUUUUAAACUCCUUCAUCGUUUUCUCUACUUCCCCUUGUUCUUCUGCUCUCCAAUAGCUAACCGACAAAUACGAGUCCCCACCCAUUCCACCAAACAUGUUUAUCUUGUCUUUCAGAACAAAAGAAACAACACCACCAGCCUAAGCCUAAACAGAUCUGAGCUUUCUAUUUUGGCUAAACCAAGACUAUAGCUUGUUCUAUACUGUUGGUGGGUCUGUUUGUUUCCAAAGAUAACUUCACUGCAUUUUCUUUGCUUUUUCCCAAUGGAUGUUUUCUAGCUUCUUUCUUUUAGAGGCAUAUAUGUUUGAUUAUGUGUUAAGGCACAUACAUACAAUCAUCAUUUUUGAUGCAGUCAGUUGGUUCAAGGAAAUCAAGGAAGUGUAACUGCAGCAUUGCAACAAAUUCAGGCAUUGAUUCUACUAACUUUUUUUUGCUAGUUGGAAAAAGUUCUUUCUGUAUUUGCUGCAACAUUUUGCAAUCAAUCUCUUUCUGUUUCUUGAACUAAUAUAUAUAUAUAUAUAUAUCCUUGCAAGACAUUAAAGGUGACGUGAAUUUGGGCGGUCCACAGAGAGCCAUGCCCAUGGAUCCCUCAAUUUAUGGACAGGGAAUCAUGCAGUCAAAACCUGGAAUAGGAAAUACAGAUUUGAUGAACUGGAGACAGCAUUGAUGGAGAUGGUUAAGCAGGACAAUCGACGCCAAUUAUGUGCUAGGAUCUUAAUGCGAUUUGAGCAAGAUCAAAAGGAAACAGAAGAUGCUUGUAGAUUUGCCGAACAAAAUGCAGCUGCACAGAGAUAUUCUGUUGAAGUGCUUCAGGUUUGAUUGUGGCACGUUUAUGUAUUCUAUAUAUCAACUUCUAUAGCAGAGGCUUAAGUCUUUAUUUUGAGCAGGAACACAUGCCCUAUGCCCUAUUUUCGUUUAAGGACCGCCAAGAAAAUUCUGAAACUGAAAGCUGAUUGAUCGGAUGUGUAUGCCGGCUUUCAUCAACUACUUUCGAAGGCCUUACUAGGAAUUGAAAUGGUGUGCAAAGAGAUUGCUUCUUCUGAUCUGAUUUUUCGAUAUAAAUACUGGACAAAGAAUGGAUAUUUUACUGCUGUUAGUAAAAUAGGAUUCUCUUCUUAGGAUCUUAGUUUGUUCACUUGUAUUAGACUCAACAAUGGCUUGCAUUGCAUUGGUGUUGAUUUUACUUAAAUUUUGAAGUUUACAAUUUUUAAUUUUUAUUAAUUAUUUUCGUUUUCUCA